AGCAGCCGCGGUAAUUCCAGCUCCAAUAGCGUAUAUUAAAGUUGUUGCAGUUAAAAAGCUCGUAGUUGGAUUUCGGGGUCAGUAGAUUGGUCGUGCCACUGGUACGUACUGGUCUACUGGCUCCUCCUUCCUGAUGAACCGUAAUGCCAUUAAUUUGGUGUUGCGGGGAAACUGGACUGUUACUUUGAAAAAUUAGAGUGUUUAAAGCAGGCUAACGCUUGAAUACAUUAGCAUGGAAUAAUGAAAUAGGACGUUCGAUCUUAUUUUGUUGGUUUCUAGGAUUGACGUAAUGAUUAAUAGGGAUAGUUGGGGGCAGUUAGUAUUCAAUUGUCAGAGUGAAAUUCUUGGAUUUAUGAAGACUAACUACUGCGAAAGCAUUUGCCAAGGAUGUUUUCAUUAAUCAAGAACGAA
rnacentral:sRNA from 1 species